GACGUAGGGCGCGAGCGUUGUCCGGAUUUAUUGGGCGUAAAGAGCUCGUAGGCGGUCUGUCACGUCGACUGUGAAAUCCCGAGGCUCAACCUCGGGCCUGCAGCCGAUACGGGCAAGCUAGAAUUCGGUAGGGGAGACUGGAAUUCCUGGGUGUAGCGGUGAAAUGCGCAGAGUAUCAGGAGGAACACCGGUGGCGAAGGCGGGUCUCUGGGCCGAUGACUGACGUGAGGAGCGAAAGCCAGGGGAGCAAACGGG
rnacentral:rRNA from 1 species